rnacentral:rRNA from 1 species
GACGAACCGUCCAAACGUUAUUCGGAAUCACUGGGCUUACAGAGUUCGUAGGCGGUCUGGAAAGUUGGGUGUGAAAUCCCUCGGCCUAACCGAGGAACUGCGCUUGAAACUACCAGACUCGAGGGAGAUAGAGGAAAGCGGAACUGAUGGUGGAGCGGUGAAAUGCGUUGAUAUCAUCAGGAACACCGGUGGCGAAGGCGGCUCACUGGCCCGAUACUGACGCUGAGGUGCGAAAGCGUGGGGAGCAAACAGG